CUUACAGCACCUGGUAUUCCCAGGCAAAUGCUCCUCCAAGUACAUAAAGAGAUCGGCAGCCGUCCAAUGGUUGAGCAAUGCUGAGCAGAGCUGAGCGCUCAACAGACCAAUCAUUGAGCGAGGAUCGGAAAACGUCAUUUGAGACUGAGCUGCGUUAGAAAAAUACUGGCGGCCAUCUUUAUUUAUUGCGGUCGGCGUUGUGACAGAUCGGACUAUUUUUUUCACUCUCAGGAUCCCACUGGCAUACAACUGUAAGUUACUGUGAAGGUGGUGGUGCUGAAUGGUGUUGGGCAGGUGCCGGCGAGGCAGUGACUCCUUGGAGGGGUUGCACGCACACAUGUACAAUGAAUGACAUUCCUUCAGAAAGAUGUGGAAUUACGGCAUUCCAAGUGUACCUGAUUGCAUUUGCUGUGCAGUGGAACAGCCGCAUGGAAUCACUCUGGGUUGCGGGUGGUCAGGGUCGGCAGAUGUCAUGUAUGGAUGCACGGCAGAUCCAGCGCAUCAAUCAGCAAGCUGAGGUGCUCUUCGGCAACGAUCAUGUUCCAGAGCCCAACUUCGCUGCUCCUAUGCCCUACCCUGAUGAAUACAAGGACCCAGAGCUCCUUGGUGUUGAGUACGCCAUGUGCCAGUCAACCAGCUUCACUGCAGGGGAUUAAUAUGCCAAGAAAGCUGAAGAAGAGCAGUCCCGUGAAGAAGACGAUUCGACUGGAUAAAGUGAAGAGGAGAUGGCAGAUGAGGGUGUUGACAUGUCUACCGAGUCAGACGAGGAUCCUAUUGACAGCAUCUGUAGGAAACAUGCCAUCCCAACACAAGCAGAUCAGGUGGAGGAGGACAGUCCUGCUCUGCAGGAUGUGCUGAUGACCCAGGGACAUCUGCAUCUGCCAGGAAUAGAGGAAGUGUAGGCAUGGGCUUUGCUGCUUCUACAACUGGCAGACAACAGUGACCACCACCUAGUGCCAGCUGAUCUCAGGCAGAAGAUUGCUACUGCUGGCAGUUCUCGAGCAUGACAAGACUACUGUCAACUUUGUGAAAAAGUACGAAUCUAGGUGGGGCUACACCCUGUUUGGCCGGUGUCUUGGGGCUGACACAUCCGAGACCAGAGCUGCCCAGAAGACAAAGUUUGGCUGGAUGAAAUACCCUCAUGGAAGCACAGGUGACGGAGGACAGUCGUCUGUUGUACCUCGUCAUUAAAAUAAAAAAUAAAAAAAUCGUCCACCAGCCAGUCACCUCUUCUCCCCCAGUAAAAUUACAACUGCAAUAAAGGGGCUAUAUAAACUUACUGCACAACUUAAUGCACAUACUGCACAUAACUGUCUUCAUGGUUCAUACUGAAUAUCCAUAUUUAUUCUGU